rnacentral:lncRNA from 1 species
AUGACUCCUGCCGAAUGGCCCAUCACCACCUCGCAGCUCACUCCCAUGACCGAGCAAGAACAUGUGCUUAUAGUCCUGAGCCUCCCCCGUACCCUUGUCCCCCCCGUGCUCCUGACUGACCAAGACACCCAGUGCCCACAGCUUCCCCACGUCCCUGCAUGCAGCCCCAGGUGGCUGUGGUGUGGAUGCCAGCAGGGCCAGGCAGCGGCAGACCCAGACAUCCCGGUUGCGCAGAUGUGCCCUGCCACCGACUCCAUGCCUCCUGGCUGUUGCUGGACUCUGCGCACAGAGGACAGCCUGGGUGCUCAUGCCCUGGGGCUGCAGCCUGCUCAUACGGCUCACUGUCCCAAGCCCUGGGGUAGGCCCAGAGGAACAGAUCCCAAGGGGGGCUUAGACCUUCCAGUCCCUUCCCGGCAGCCACCCUUCAGAGCCAGGUUCCAGCCUCACGGAAUGGGGACCUCCAGCCCUGCCCUCUCUGUGCAGGCCCUGCUGUUCAGAGCAUCCCUCCCGUGCCAGGGCCUGCUUCCCCCCGCAAAGAUCCGCUCCCUGGUGGGGGUGCUGGGCAGGACCCCUGCCCCUCCCCAGCUGGCCCCCAGCCUGGGCUCCUCAGCCGAGUCCUGCACAGGACCCCUACCCCAGCCUGGGACCCCCGGCCCUACGUGGACCCCUGCACCCCCAGCCCGGGACCCCUACGUGGACCCUGGGCCCAGGGCAGCAGCCGCGGCCGCGUCUGCCGCCCGGGCCGUCCCACCGGGCUGCAGUGUCCAGGGCUGCCGAGGAAAUGGCUCUGCGACAUUCUGGGAGGCGGCCGGGAGAGGGACGGGGAAGAUCGGGGCGGGGCGGGGCAGAGCGGAGCAGCACGGCCCGGACCACGCCGGGAGGCGGCCGGUGCCGUACGGGGCAGCCUCUCCGGGCCUCCGGCAAGGGGCCUUCCCCGCCGGGCCCGUGACCGGAGCGCGGCCCGGGCCUGGCGGCGCGGCCCCGCUGUGCGAAACGCCGGGGAGGAUCGGCUGCCACCGGUCCCGGCACUCCGGGUCCCGGCGCAGCGCUCUCGGCCACAGCCCGCGGCCCCGGGGGCACCCAGGCGCCCGGCGGCUCUAG